AUACGUAGGGGGCGAGCGUUGUCCGGAAUGAUUGGGCGUAAAGGGCGCGUAGGCGGCCCGGUAAGUCUGGAGUGAAAGUCCUGUUUUUAAGAUGGGAAUUGCUUUGGAUACUGUCGGGCUUGAGUGCAGGAGAGGAAAGUGGAAUUCCCAGUGUAGCGGUGAAAUGCGUAGAGAUUGGGAGGAACACCAGUGGCGAAGGCGACUUACUGGACUGUAACUGACGCUGAGGCGCGAAAGUGUGGGGAGCAAACAGGAUUAGAUACCCUGGUAGUCCACACUGUAAACGAUGAAUGCUAAGUGUAGGGGGUAUCGACCCCUUCUGUGCCGCAGUCAACACAUUAAGCAUUCCGCCUGGGGAGUACGGCCGCAAGGUUGAAACUCAAAUGAAUUGACGGGG
rnacentral:rRNA from 1 species